rnacentral:misc_RNA from 1 species
AAGUCGUAACAAGGUUUCCGUAGGUGAACCUGCGGAAGGAUCAUUAACACGUAUCCAACGUUAAACCCCCCGUGAACUUUUAUUGCGAACCACGCCUUUGUUAAAAAGUAGCAAUCCCUGGUAAAUUCAGGGAUCUCUGCGAAGAGAGCGGUUGUAGCGCGAGGUAAGUGGCCUGGCAUUCCUCUGCUUGUUAGUGUCUGACAGUGUCACUAGCUCUGUACGAAUGGCGCAGUCACGAUCGCUGGAGGCCGACACGGCCGGCGACCGGGUCACCGGGCAUAGACCCCCCUAUCACCUUUGCAUGAAAACGGGCCUGCGCUUAAUUGUGCGGCCACCAAACUCGAACAACUGUUAACAAUGGAUAUCUUGGUUCUC